UAAUACGUGAGUAACCUGCCCUUGACUCUGGGAUAAGCCUGGGAAACCGGGUCUAAUACUGGAUACUACUGCGCAUCGCAUGGUGUGUGGUGGAAAGGGUUUUACUGGUUUUGGAUGGGCUCACGGCCUAUCAGCUUGUUGGUGGGGUAAUGGCUCACCAAGGCGACGACGGGUAGCCGGCCUGAGAGGGUGACCGGCCACACUGGGACUGAGACACGGCCCAGACUCCUACGGGAGGCAGCAGUGGGGAAUAUUGCACAAUGGGCGAAAGCCUGAUGCAGCGACGCCGCGUGAGGGAUGACGGCCUUCGGGUUGUAAACCUCUUUCAGUAGGGAAGAAGCGAGAGUGACGGUACCUGCAGAAGAAGCGCCGGCUAACUACGUGCCAGCAGCCGCGGUAAUACGUAGGGCGCAAGCGUUGUCCGGAAUUAUUGGGCGUAAAGAGCUCGUAGGCGGUUUGUCGCGUCUGCUGUGAAAGCCCGGGGCUCAACCCCGGGUCUGCAGUGGGUACGGGCAGACUAGAGUGCAGUAGGGGAGACUGGAAUUCCUGGUGUAGCGGUGAAAUGCGCAGAUAUCAGGAGGAACACCGAUGGCGAAGGCAGGUCUCUGGGCUGUUACUGACGCUGAGGAGCGAAAGCAUGG
rnacentral:rRNA from 1 species